CAGUCUCGCCUGAAAGUUGUCUAGUCUGGUUAUCCAGCAACUACAGUACAUGUGGCCAGAAAAAUUCUGGACAGAAAAGCAAAAUAACAUCACUAAGGAAGUGAAUCUUAGAUCAGACAAUCCAAGAUGGUGACACUUUCAGUUAAAUGCAAGCCAGUAUCCUUUUGGUGGUGGCACAAAAAACACGGUGAUGU